rnacentral:rRNA from 1 species
UCUGAGUGAUUUCCGCUAAGGAAGUCUUUUGGCACCUCUAAAAAUGGUGCAGAAUAAGGGGUGGGCAAGUCUGGUGUCAGCCGCCGCGGUAAUACCAGCACCCCGAGUGGUCGGGACGAUUAUUGGGCCUAAAGCAUCCGUAGCCGGUCCUGCAAGUCCUCCGUUAAAUCCACCCGCUCAACGGUUGGGCCGCGGGGGAUACUACAGGGCUAGGAGGCGGGAGAGGCAAGCGGUACUCGAUGGGUAGGGGUAAAAUCCACUGAUCCAUUGAAGACCACCAGUGGCGAAGGCGGCCUGCCAGAACGCGCUCGACGGUGAGGGAUGAAAGCUGGGGGAGCAAACCGGAUUAGAUACCCGGGUAGUCCCAGCUGUAAACGAUGCAGACUCGGUGAUGGGCUGGCUUCGUGCCAACCCGGUGCCGCAGGGAAGCCGUUAAGUCUGCCGCCUGGGGAGUACGGUCGCAAGACUGGAACUUAAAGGAAUUGGCGGGGGAGCAC